GAGAAAGGUCUAGGGUGACUCCAAGCGCCUCUCUGUAGACAUGCCCCUGCUCGUGUUCCCGACACCCUACAAGACUGGAGCCAUGAUCGCCUUCGUUUAACAGGGGAAGAAAUGGAGACCCAGAGAAGGGCAGCAGCGUGCUCAAGGUCACACAGCGAGUGGCAGCAGAUCCUGCGUUUGCACCAGGUCAGCCUGACGUCCAAGGUCUUUCCUGCAAACAGCUGUCCAAGCUCAGCAGGCAGCAGGUGAGCCAAGGAAAGACCAUGUGAGUCCACAACGAGAAGGCAGUCGUCUACAAGUCAGGAAGAGAGCUCUGCUCAGAAACUGAAUCAGCUAGCACCUUGAUCUUGAACUUCCUGGACUCUAAACGAUGGGGAGACUGAGGCCCCACCACCAGAGGCAGAACCUUGGGGCCUGCCCACCAGCUCUCCAGGGCCCGUCCCAUUGGUCAUGGACACCAAGGCUGGCCCAACUAGAGAGGUCUCCGGCACCUGCCUUGGGGAGGAGUCUGGACCCUCCUCCCCUCGCUACCCCACCCACCCUCCAUCACCAUGGCAACCAUGCAGAUGAAGAAAUAAUCUCAGAAAGAUUAACCAGUUUGCUCAGAGUCAUGCAGUAGGCUCCUGCUCUGUCUGCACCGGGCCUCAUCUCCAAACUCAGCUCCUCAGGUGUGCUGGCCCUUCCUCUCCAUCCGGCCUGCGGAUCACAGAAGCUUAGUCCCAGCUGUCUGGAGAGAAACCGGUCUGCAUGAUAGAGGAGCAUGGCCCACCGCUCCACAGCUGCUACACCACGUCAAGAUUUGAACUCGUGCUCGUCUUCCCCGAAACAGUCCAGGUCGGGUAACGUGACCCUUCUCUUUUCUCCUAAUUGGAAGUCUGGGGAAGGGAGUCACCACGUCUCCACGCGAAGCUCUGUGCCACGUGCAUCACACACGUCGUCGGUUUGGAACCGAGGUUCUCCUCCUUUUCCAGAUGGGGAAACUGAAGCUCGGGGGGACGAUGGGAACUGCCCAAGACGUGUGAUCGAUCAUUGGUGGGGUGAGAUGACGCUGUUCAUUUCCCUCCUGCCCAUCUCCCUGCAGGAACGGUGCCCAUUUAUCCUGGAACUCUGGUGCCCAGCCCGGGCCGGGCACACAGGAAUAGUAGAAUGAAUGAAUGAAUGAAUGAGGCAGCUAUACUAGAGGAGUGCCAGGGUUAGAGUAUACCCCACCCCUUCCAUUACUGGCCCUCAGACCCCUAAGUUGACUCCCUAUCCCUGUCCCUUACUGACCCACCUGCCUGGCUGGAUGACCUCUCACCUCUGCCCGUGGCUCCAGAUGACCCUGGGGGCUUCUGGUCGGGGCCCAAAUCCAUCAUUCCUGACUGGUUUGUUCCAGCCCUGCCUCCUCCCAUCCAUCUUCUCACCGCAGCUAGAGAGAAGGGGGUGGUGCUGGGGGGCAGGAGGAGGGUCCCACUCCAGAAAACUCUUGGACCGGCUGAAGUCCUCUCCAGUGCCCACCUCCGCCACCUCCCACGCAGUCACUCCCUCCCUGCAGAGCGUUUGGUCAAAUACCUUGGAACCCAACAUAUAAGACCGCCAAAGGCAGAGGGCUCUAGCUAGAGGGUGCAGGACGUGAAGGAGUCCUGCCUGGUGCCCCACCCGCCCCCUUUGCGUCCAAGUAGCCCCCAGGGUGGAGCACCCCCCACCACCAUCGAGAACCUCCAGGAAGCCAUGGAGAACAACUCCGUCCUGGGGACCAGGAGACCUGGGUUUCAUUUCCAGUCCAGCUACUGGCUCACUGUGUAACCUGGAGUUACACCGUCUCUCUAACCUCAGUUUCCCCAUCUACAACACGAGAGGGUUGAACUCAGUUUUCAGGCUUUUAUGACUAGAACAGUGGAAACCUUUCAUUCAAAUUAAAUCACAUGCUGAACUCCGA